rnacentral:lncRNA from 1 species
AUCCGGAGAGGGCCAGUUAUGAACCGGGGUCGAAAUCAGACCCUGAGGCACAAAACCAAGUCUCGACGACAACUCCAAGACUCUUUGGCAAAUCGGAGAGUGGAGUUUGAUAUCAGAUUGAAUAGGGUUUCUAUAGGUAUUGGUUUUGGAUGAUUUAGAUCUAUAUUGACUUUUUAAGAGCUUUACAAAGUCAAGGUUUGUUUU